GUAGCUCACACGUAUGACGUUUUAAUCUACCAUUCAUUCACAUAGAACAAACCCUAAGUAGACGGCGAUGGAACCAUGUGGAUCCUUGUUUUUCUGCAGCACCGAUUUCUGCAACCCUAACUGGAUAAUUUUUUCGUACUGGUAAAGACAACAGAAAUUGAGUAGUUGCUGCGGCACCAUUUAUAACACAACUUCAUAUAGCAUCUCAAAAUGAAGGAACUAAACAGUGAUGAAGCAAGAAGAAAAUGGAGCAAGAAAAUAUUGAAGAAAAGAAUGCCAUGCACGUUGCUAACGCCCAUAAGCCUUGCCAUGCACGUUGCCAACGCCAGGAAGCAAACAUGGAGCCUUGAGAAAGGCUCGAGCACGUUGCCAACGUGCUGAAGAGAAGGAGUGUUCAUCAACAACGCCAGGAUGGUGAGGAAAUUGUGAUGCACGUUGCUAACUUGGAAUGUAGGGGCGUUAUCCACAACAACUCCAACAAGGCAGCCUGACCAUGUCCUCUUCAAUGGAAGAUAUCUUGAGUUAUAGAGGUCCAAAUUGAGUGCUUCCAAUUGCAUUGGAAAGCUGACAUUUAGAGCUUUCCAACCAUAUAUAAUAGUCUAUAGUGGAGCAUGAAAUGGAAGCUCGAAUCAGAGUCAUCUUUAGGCCCCAAAAACAAGGAAAUGAGGUUGAAAUUCAAGGAAGCAUGAGUAGGCCAAGGAGGGGGAGUCGAACACGUUGCCAGGGCCAAAAUGAACUGGCGUGUUCCUUGGCAACUCCAGCAACAACGCCCAGGCCAAGAAAUUUGGGCUAGGGGCGUUGUUGAGCACGUUAUUGGUGGCGUUAUCCACAAAAACGCCCAACCAGGGCAGCCUGACCUUGCCAUCUUCAAUGGAGCAUAACUUGAGCUAGGAAAGUCCAAAUGAGGUGAUUCUAGUGGCAUUGGAAAGUAGACAUCAAGAGCUUUCCAAUGAUAUAUCAUAGUUCAUAUUUAAGCAAAGGAUUGAAGCUCAAAGUUUAGGCAACAUUAAGCAUGAAAAGUGAAACCAAGAAGAAGAGCCAAGUGUUUGGCAAUAACUUGGGCUAGCAACGCCUAUCACCAAGCCCCAGCCCAGGAAACCCAUGAGCACGUUGCCAACGUGCAAUAACAUUGGCGUGUUUGCCAAUAACGCUUGUUCACUGGGCCAGAAUUGAUGUGAACAAGCUUUGCUUCCUCUGUUUUCCUUAAAAGGGCAGCAACUCCACUCAUGAGCUAGCUAACCUCAAGCAAGAAAAACCCAUAAAUCUCAAUCAAUCAAGGCCACAAGAAUCAUCUAGAAUAGUUGAUUUUCAUUUAAUUGUAAUUUGCUUUUAAUUUCAUUUCAAUUGGUAAUUUAGAAAAGCCUAUAUAAAGGCCAUAGUCUCAUAGCAUUAGGAGGUUGGAUUGGGGGGGAUACGGAGGAGACCAAUUUGAAAUUCUGUGAAUUGGCACACUCCAUUGAGAGUGGGUCUUCGGACCCCUCCCCUUCAUACACUCUUCUUCACUUCCCCUUCUCUUCUUCCUUAGUAGUAGUGUAGUUUAAUUUGUAGUUUUCAUUUAUGAAUUCUUGAAUUCUCAAUUUCUGUUUUGAAGUCACUCUUUAUUUUCAUACACUUUAGUUUCAUGCAAUUCAGUUUUCAAUUGGAGCUAUGAUUCACUAAACCCCACCUUCAUUAGGGGGAAGAGCUCUGCUUGUUGGAAUGGAUUGGUGAACUCAUCUUCUCCUCCUCAAUUCUAGUGGUUGAUCUAAAGAGGGAACUCUUGCUCUUCAUAGAUUCAACCACCAUCGAGAGAGGGGUUAAUCUACAUGAAUUAUGUGGUGAAUUUGAGGAAUGAGCCACAUAAUUCAGUUUAGAGUUCAUCCUUUCAUGAUUUCUUUAAUCAAUAUACCUUGGUUAGUAUGUGAGAUGUAACUCUCCUUGGUUGAGAUUAUAGGAAUUGUGUGGCUGGAUUAGAUUUGAGCUUCAUCUCUUCUCAUGAACAAUUAGAUCACGAGAGUGGCAAUUGGUUAUGUUGAGAGAGAUUGAAUCACCAAGAGAUUGGGAUUCAAUCACCCACUUGCCAUGGAUCUAUACCCAUGAUUGAGGAAGAUUUGACUAACAUCAAUUCAUGAAAACUAGCAUCUCUGAUCCCUAAUGAUCCUCUCUAUCAUUAAUUCUUAUUUCUCUUGUUCUUAGUGUUUGAAAAUUGCCCAACUCCCUUCUACAUCCUGUCAAUUUACUAUUCUUGUUAUUACAUUCUGUUCCUUUAUU